AAAAUUAGAGUUUGGUAAUAGCUCAGCUUAUAUGCGAACUAGGCGGUGGUUAAUACAUGCGAGCAUAAAAGAAAAGCGCACGAGUGCGUAAUACGCGAGUUUAGUUUAAAUAAUAUAA
rnacentral:rRNA from 1 species